rnacentral:rRNA from 1 species
CCAAUAGCGUAUAUUAAAGUUGUUGCAGUUAAAAAGCUCGUAGUUGAAUUUCGGGGUUAGUAGGUUGGUCAUGCCUCUGGUAUGUACUGGUCUCACUGAUUCCUCCUUCCUGAUGAGCCGUAAUGCCAUUAAUUUGGUGUUGCGGGGAAUUUGAACUGUUACUUUGAAAAAAUUAGAGUGUUUAAAGCAAGCUAACGCUUGAAUACAUUAGCAUGGAAUAAUGAAAUAGGACGUUCGAUCCUAUUUUGUUGGUUUCUAGGAUUGACGUAAUGAUUAAUAGUGAUAGUUGGGGGCAAUAGUAUUCAAUUGUCAGAGGUGAAAUUCUUGGAUUUAUUGAAGACUAACUACUGCGAAAGCAUUUGCCAAGGAUGUUUUCAUUAAUCAAGAACGAAAGUUAGGGGAUCGAAGACGAUCAGAUACCGUCGUAGUCUUAACCAUAAACUAUGCCGACUAGGGAUCGGAUGAUGUUAAUUUUUUAAUGACUCAUUCGACGCCUUACG